GACGAACGCUGGCGGCGUGCUUAACACAUGCAAGUCGAACGGAAAGGCCCUGCUUUUGUGGGGUGUUCGAGUGGCGAACGGGUGAGUAACACGUGAGUAGCCUGCCCUUGACUUUGGGAUAACUUCAGGAAACUGGGGCUAAUACCGGAUAGGAGCUCCUGCUGCAUGGUGGGGGUUGGAAAGUUUCGGCGGUUGGGGAUGGACUCGCGGCUUAUCAGCUUGUUGGUGGGGUAGUGGCUUACCAAGGCUUUGACGGGUAGCCGGCCUGAGAGGGUGACCGGCCACAUUGGGACUGAGAUACGGCCCAGACUCCUACGGGAGGCAGCAGUGGGGAAUAUUGCACAAUGGGCGGAAGCCUGAUGCAGCAACGCCGCGUGCGGGAUGACGGCCUUCGGGUUGUAAACCGCUUUCGCCUGUGACGAAGCGUGAGUGACGGUAAUGGGUAAAGAAGCACCGGCUAACUACGUG
rnacentral:rRNA from 1 species